rnacentral:rRNA from 1 species
UACAGAGGUCCCAAGCGUUGUUCGGAUUCACUGGGCGUAAAGGGUGCGUAGGUGGCGAGGUAAGUCGGAUGUGAAAGCUCGGAGCUCAACUCCGAAAUGGCAUUGGAAACUACCUGGCUUGAGGGUUGGAAGGGGGACUGGAAUUCUCGGUGUAGCAGUGAAAUGCGUAGAUAUCGAGAGGAACACCAGUGGCGAAGGCGGUUCUCUGGGAAUGACCUGACGCUGAGGAGCGAAAGUGUGGGGAGCGAACAGG